AAUUAUUAAAUUUAACACAUCCUUGGACAUUAAUACUAAACAAAUAUGCAUCUCCGAAGGAAGAGCAAUGUCGCCGCUCCCGAGUGCUUCGAAACCUAGGUUUUCAACAAUUUUGCAGAAAAAUGCUCACUAUUCAAGUCUUUGGCAUCGCCCUUGCCCUGCGGCAUAUCCACGUUUGGCCACAGGUUUGAGCUACUCUUUCUCUGCGGUUGUCUAGGCUUGUGAUGGCAGGAGAGAGGGGUCGUGGGUAGCAACAAAAUGGGAAGGGUUUGGAAGACUGCACAUAAGCAAAAGAAGCACGCGAUAUAGAAUUGGGUGCUUAGAGAUGGGGAGGGUCAGAGUGAGGAAAUUAGUAACGUAGGCUGAGGUUUUUUUCGGUUUGAGCAAACUGCAGACAGACCUACGUUUAGGAGUUGAAGAUAAUAGGGAAAUUACUGAAAAUGAUAACUAUUUUGCAGAGAUGGGUUUCAUAGGGCGCUUCCAAGGUUUUUCUCCAAGCCCAGGACAAUUGCACAAAUGGAUAACAAGUGGUGGCGUCUUAUUUUGGUUGGAGAUGUGUAGAUUUAUCCAGGAGCUCGUCGCUUUUUUGUAGUAGCCUUUGACAAUGUGCAGGACAGGAAAAAGAACUUUAUGUGAAUAUCUUUGGAGUUGGGAGGAGAAGCACACAAUGCCACUAAAACCAUGGUAUCUGAAUUUCAACCCUACCACAGAAUCAUUUGACAAAACUCCAACAUGGAAAGCUCUUCCUGCAGAUGUAGCACUGAAAUCCACUAGGGAAUUUUGGUGCAGAUGAUGGAUUAUACCAUUCAGAUGUAGAAGGUGCUAUCAAACAGGGCAUAUGGUAGCUUAUUGUGACAAACAGAAACAAAAUAUGUAGGCUUCUUGGUGGAAGGGUGUCUCCCCCUUUCACUACUCUAUGGAGAAAGUUGUUGAGAAUGUGUAAAAGAAUAUUUACAGAAAGGAGGAUGCUAACUCUAAUGAAGAAUAGAAGAGAGUGCUUUCCUCAAAGACCACGAUGGAGACAGCGGAGAAAAAUGGUGCCAAUGUUCAUGCUGGUUGCUGCUUUGAUGUGGAUAAUAUUUUUGAUCAAGUUGGUGUGCAAAAGGUGGAGAUUAGAAAGAGGUUAUCUAAAUUUCUUGAGGUGGUCCAGGGUGUAAAAGAGCAAAAAGAUAUAGGGGUAUUGAUGAAAGAGAAAAGGGAGGAGAGAGAUACAAAGGAAGGAAUGCUAUUUAAACAUUUUAGGGACCAAGUGGAAGAAUUGCAGGGUAGAACAGAGAUGGAGGAUGGAUGGAAGUGGUGAAGGGGAAGAGAGAUAAAAAAGGCAAAGCAGAAGGAACUUUGCAACAAGUUACUUUGACUUCAAAUCUAGAUGUAGUAAAGUGGCGGUGCAAUCUCUUGACCUGUUAAUGGAUCUUUGCAUUCUGAUGCUUUGCUUCUAUGGCAGGUGGUUUCUUGAUUGUAGCCCUACCUGGUUUGGUCCAGGCUUAAAACCGGAAUCAAUAUAAUAAAUCUUUUAUUGAUUUAAAAAAAUACUAAAAAAACAUGCUGCCCAAGUUUAAAAUGCAGUUAAAUAACAUAUAAGUGAUGGAAUCUUUCGUCCCAUGAACAUACAAAGUAGUAUGAAAAUUUAUGUCAUUUUUUAUUUUUUCAGAAAAAUAAAGAUAACAAUACAUUUAAAGAA